UCCUAGUAGCUCAGACAGUAAAGCAUCUGCCUGCAAUGCAGGAGACGCGGGUUUGGUCCCUGUGCUGGGAA
rnacentral:tRNA from 1 species